rnacentral:rRNA from 1 species
GAGUUUGAUCCUGGCUCAGGACGAACGCUGGCGGCGUGCUUAACACAUGCAAGUCGAACGGUAAGGCCCCUUCGGGGGUACACGAGUGGCGAACGGGUGAGUAACACGUGGGUAAUCUGCCCUGCACUUCGGGAUAAGCCUGGGAAACUGGGUCUAAUACCGGAUAUGAACUCCUGCCGCAUGGUGGGGGUUGGAAAGUUUUUCGGUGCAGGAUGAGCCCGCGGCCUAUCAGCUUGUUGGUGGGGUAAUGGCCUACCAAGGCGACGACGGGUAGCCGGCCUGAGAGGGUGAUCGGCCACACUGGGACUGAGACACGGCCCAGACUCCUACGGGAGGCAGCAGUGGGGAAUAUUGCACAAUGGGCGAAAGCCUGAUGCAGCGACGCCGCGUGGGGGAUGACGGUCUUCGGAUUGUAAACCCCUUUCAGUAGGGACGAAGCGCAAGUGACGGUACCUGCAGAAGAAGCACCGGCUAACUACGUGCCAGCAGCCGCGGCAAUACGUAGGGUGCGAGCGUUGUCCGGAAUUACUGGGCGUAAAGAGCUCGUACGCGGUUUGUCACGUCGUCUGUGAAAUCCCUCGGCUUAACCGGGGGCGUGCAGGCGAUACGGGCAGACUUGAGUACUACAGGGGAGACUGAAUUCCUGGUGUAGCGGUGAAAUGCGCAGAUAUCAGGAGGAACACCGGUGGCGAAAGGGGGUCUCUGGGUAGUAACUGACGCUGAGGAGCGAAAGCAUGGGUAGCGAACAGGAUUAGAUACCCUGGUAGUCCAUGCCGUANACGGUGGGCGCUAGGUGUGGGGUCCUUCCACGGACUCCGUGCCGUAGCUAACGCAUUAAGCGCCCCGCCUGGGGAGUACGGCCGCAAGGCUAAAACUCAAAGGAAUUGACGGGGGCCCGCACAAGCGGCGGAGCAUGUGGAUUAAUUCGAUGCAACGCGAAGAACCUUACCUAGGCUUGACAUAUACAGGACGACGGCAGAGAUGUCGUUUCCCUUGUGGCUUGUAUACAGGUGGUGCAUGGUUGUCGUCAGCUCGUGUCGUGAGAUGUUGAAAUAAGUCCCGCAACGAGCGCAACCCCUGUCUCAUGUUGCCAGCACGUAAUGGUGGGGACUCGUGAGAGACUGCCGGGGUCAACUCGGAGGAAGGUGGGGAUGACGUCAAAUCAUCAUGCCCCUUAUGUCUAGGGCUUCACACAUGCUACAAUGGCUAGUACAGAGGGCUGCGAUACCGCGAGGUGGAGCGAAUCCCUUAAAGCUGGUCUCAGUUCGGAUUGGGGUCUGCAACUCGACCCCAUGAAGUCGGAGUCGCUAGCAAUCGCAGAUCCGCCNCGCUGCGGUGNNUNCGUUCCCGG